rnacentral:rRNA from 1 species
UACGUAGGGUGCGAGCGUUGUCCGGAAUUACUGGGCGUAAAGGGCGCGUAGGUGGCCUUCUUAGUCAGACGUGAAAUCCCCGGGCUUAACUCGGGAACUGCGUCUGAUACUGGAAGGCUCGAGUUCGGGAGAGGAAUGUGGAAUUCCAGGUGUAGCGGUGAAAUGCGUAGAUAUCUGGAGGAACACCGAUGGCGAAGGCAGAUCUCUGGGCCGUAACUGACGCUGAGGAGCGAAAGCGUGGGGAGCGAACAGG